GAGUGCAAUCACGGGAGACAGACAUCGGGUGCUAACGUCCGGUGUCAAGAGGGAAACAACCCAGACCGCCAGCUAAGGUCCCCAAAUAUAGCUAAGUGGGAAACGAAGUGGGAAGGCUAAAACAGUCAGGAGGUUGGCUUAGAAGCAGCCACCCUUUAAAGAAAGCGUAAUAGCUCACUGAUCGAGUCGUCCUGCGCGGAAGAUGUAACGGGGCUAAGCUAUAUACCGAAGCUGCGGAUGCACAUUUAUGUGCAUGGUAGGAGAGCGUUCCGUAAGCCUGCGAAGGUGCAUUGUAAAGUGUGCUGGAGGUAUCGGAAGUGCGAAUGCUGACAUGAGUAGCGAUAAAGGGGGUGAAAGGCCCCCUCGCCGUAAGCCCAAGGUUUCCUACGCAACGUUCAUCGGCGUAGGGUGAGUCGGCCCCUAAGGCGAGGCAGAAAUGCGUAGCUGAUGGGAAGCAGGUCAAUAUUCCUGCACCAUUGUUAAAUGCGAUGGGGGGACGGAUCGCGGAAGGUUGUCCGGGUGUUGGAAGUCCCGGUCGCUGCGUUGGAGAAGGCACUUAGGCAAAUCCGGGUGCAGAAUUCAAGGGCGUGGCGCGAGCUUCUUA
rnacentral:rRNA from 1 species